GAUCGGUCUAUAAGGUCGUUUAUUUUCCUUACAAAAGCCGACAGUACCUUAUAUCCCAAAGUUUUGCUUGCCAUACGUACCUUUGCUCUCUUAGAUAUUUCAUUGUACCUCUUAUGCUCUCUUAGUUUGAAUCAAUAGUACAAAUUCUACGCUAGAGCUAUACCCUAUCCGACUAGAGGGAAUAUAGCUCCUCUAUAUAGAUAGCCCAUAGCCAUCUAAUAUCGGGUUACUUUGCUCACAAACAUUUGGAUAGGAUAGGUAAGAUUCUCAUUUACAAUGGUGAAGAAAGGUGAGGAGGAGAAGAAAGCAGAAGGGGAGAAGAAAGGAAUGACAAAAAUGGGUGCACUUAAAACAGCAUUGCUAACAAUUGCAGGGCUGGCGUUAGCCUGGUUUACAAUGGAAAUUGCCUUUAAGCCUCAUCUUGGCAAAGGGAGAAGUGCUAUGGGGAAAGCCCUCGAUCCCAAUUAUGAUCCAGACGAUGAUAAAGUCGACCGCUCACCUGAGUACGAGCGUGACUCUGGUAGUUCUAGUGAUGAAGAAGAGGAGGGUACUCCGCCCAAAAAGAAAUGAGGUUGAAGACAACAUUACUUAGAGGUGAUUGAUCAUCGCAAGCCAAAGGAUAGCAUAAGAUAUUCUGUCAACUGUGCAUGUAUUUGCAGUGUAUGAUUGUAGUUUGAACUUUUGACAAGCUCAAGCAGACAUGCUUUGAAUCUGCAGUCUUGGGCCUUAUCAAAAGCAACUUAAAUUUGUUUAUUUGCUUUAGGUGCUACAUUUUCAUAUCUCAAACUGAAGGCAUAUGUAAAGCUUACGAGUAUGGAUAUUUCUAGCUUUCAACCAACCUAAAUUAGAACUAGAAAUUCGUAGGUUAACUACUUUGACUUGUAUGUAGGAAAUACAAACUUUCAUUUGCCUGCUUA